ensembl:lncRNA
UACUUCCACUGCUCAGUCCCAUCAACCCUUACUCAGUAAGAAGGACCUGUGGCUACAAGGUCCAGAACCAGAUUUCACAGAUUUGUUUUUGGGUAUUUGAUUUGCAAGCAAUGCAGUCAUCUCCUAUACUUCUGGCUCUGAUAAGAGACAGUAGCUCAGAUCACUCCAGAGAGGCCACACCGGUGCUGCAGUGGUAUUAAUGGUCUUUUGAGGACAUCAUGUCCAAGUCCUCCACCUGGCCAGAAAAAUAUUUUACAAGACAGUGUAAGAUUGGAGGAUAAUUAGAUUGCACUGAGAGAGUACCUUCACCUAUAACAUUAGGAUCACUAAGCAACAUGGCUGGUAGAUGUUGCUGUAUGGGACAACGUUAAAAAGGGAUCCUCAGACUUUUAGAUGUGGGUAAUCAUUGUCUGACUGGGUAAGAAUGGAACUCAGCUCCCUUCUCCCAUGCAAGCGGGAGAUAGGGAGCAAUCCCUGAGAUGGUCCAUCCCAACUAAUACAGGGGUGGUAGAUGGACAUAGAUAGGCAUGGCAGAUGCUUGUCCCCUGCUGCAGUUAGGGACUGUGAAAGCUGGAGCUUCAAAAAAAAUCCAGAGAAAGACAGAAAGAAAAGCCAGACAGCAGAUGUCCUAAAGGCUAAGAAUGGCAAACACCAGCAGGUAGAGCAGACUCUACCUCCUUUUAGCCCCCAAAUGCAGAAGACUUCUGGUAUCAGUUGCUUUGAGUCACAUGAGAGAAUGGAUGAGGAGCUGAUUAAGAAAAGUGCUUUUUAAAAGUUGUUCGAAUGUAGAGUUCCCAGCCGAUGUGGCAGAAAGCAAAGGACGUCAGCAAAUCUUAUUAAUAUGCUGAUGCUAUGGCUUCAGAAGUGUACAGAAUGCCCAUUUGGAUCAGGGCUAAGAGCACAGCAUGGAGUUGCUAUGGAGACGUGGGGAGGCCAUUAAUUAGCUCUCACAUGAAAUCAUCAGGAAGGGUCCGAACCACGGCAGCUCUGCCCUCCUCGGAAGCCAAGGGCACGGCCCUGCUGACCCCCAGCCUCCCCUCUGCAGCUCCAACAGCCGUGUCCUGGAGCAGACGUGUCCUGCAGGCAUCAGAGGCUUGGAUGAAAGCCCAUUGAAGACUAUUCGAAUUUUCUGACUGACUUCUGGAAGAUAUUGUUGAAAGGACAAAGCACUAAGUAUAACACAACUCAGCAACAGCUUUCUGCCUGGGGUUUGGGGAUGGGCUAAGUGACUUCUACUUAUCCUCUCGCUAGGCUUUAGUUUCUCUGACUCUCUGAAACUUGAGAAAACCAUCUCAGCACCAUUUUGAAGGACAAAGACCUGCCGAUUCCAGGAGGAAGCACAGAACAGUCCUUUGAAAGGGUCAUCUACUGAGAAGUAAACUUUCUUACAUACGUAGCUCUGAAUUUUGAAAGUAGCUCAGGGCAAAUGUGGGUAAUGUUGAAACUGGUUUAUUUCUGUCAGAAAGUUAGGCUUUUAGUUGAAGCUAGUCAUUUAAGCCGUAGAAAGAGAGGCUGUUGCCUUCGAAGGAUGAAUCAUGCACCCACUUUAGGCACUGCACAUUGGAAAAGGUGACUCACCCUCUGGAAAUGCCUCCCUUUCUCUCCACAGCCAUUAGAUGAAACCUGGAUCACCAGCUUAGACACCCCAACUUUUAAAUGGCUAAAACUAGGUACAAGUAAUCCUUCCUGAAGAAGACACAGAGAUUAACAUGCUUCCCAGAACAGCACUAGGAUGGAUAUCACACCACUGUUGUUCCAUCUGUAGGAUGCUUGAGGCAGGUGAAGGUCUUGCUGCCCAGCAGUGGGUCAGGCCAGAUUCAGGCUUAAUCUCAGCUGAGCUCUCCUGUGAAACAGCAGCCCUGCUUUCUGCUUGUAAUGUUAUAACAUAAAGGAAAGUACAGCAAUAAAAACAAGGCAGUAAAAUCCUAAGCUGCACCCUUGUCUCCCUCCUGCCAACCCUUAAAUGAGGUCUGGGAAGGGGUAGAUCCUGGCUCCACCCCUUCCACUCACUCAGGUGCAUUGCAUACACCUGAGCAUCCCUAGGUUGGCCCUGCCUUUCCACCAGGUGCUCAAUCACUGCUUCAGGCUGUGACUUAGCAUUUCUGUGACCGUGCUGUAGGGCAUAGAGCCCUCAGAGCCCAGGGUGUCUUCAAAAACCCUUUACCUCCUGUUCUCCACCAUGCCACUUGGACACCACACACAUGGGCUGUGAUGCCUUCUUUCCAUCCUGAGUUCACUAACUCUGUUCCAACAUCUCCAGCAAGUUUGGCUUGGUGUCUCUGAUACUACACCCCAAGAUCCUGUGAGCAGAUGGGAAUUGAGAACAGCGCUCAGCAGCAUUUCUCAGAUGUGCCUGCAGCUGGGCUGGCUGUGCCCAUCCCUGCUGUGUCAGCCUGGAAGCACCAGUCCAGCACUUGACAAUAUUCCUGGAGCACGGCCAAUUCUCUGAUGACAGCGCAUGAGAGCAGUGUUCACGUUUCCCAUUUCCACAAAGCCACGUGACAGAAAAGAAGUCAGGACUGGUACUUGCUUUUUCAUGCUCAGAGUUUCUCCCUUGCAUUCUGUUGAGGGCUGCAUCAUUAUAUUCAUUUAUAAAAGUGACCUGAAGACAAAUGCGCACAAGCCUUCUUGCCUUCCCAUUGCUAUCUUGGAGGCAAGGCUCCAGUUUUUAGCCAUAUGACACAGUGAGAUAAGCCUUACAAUAAAAAGCAAACAAUGCAAGGCCAGCCCCGGGCCUCCAAGUCGCGAUCUCCGUUUGUUCAGCAUUUUCCCAGAAGGUUGUUGGAGAUACCUGUGGGUACGGCUGAAUGCAGAGAGUCGACUUUGCAGAAGCAAAGAGCACAGCAUUCUGGGUUAUUAAACCAUUUGUCUUACAGCCCCGGGGAAAAUGAGUUUGCUACAGAAAGUCACUAAUGGACCGAGUUUCCUCAUCUCAAGCUUUCUUCUCUGCGUUUCGCAGCAUCCCCAGCUUGGCACCAUUGUAAGCAUGAGCACCAACUUGUGUUGAGAAGAGAGCAGAGACCGAGAAAUGCAAAAGAGGGAUGUGUCAGAAAAGCUAUUUUUGAAACUGUCUCUGGCUCUUGACUGCAUUAUCUCCAGAUCUCCCCUCGACUGCAUUUUUUCAUCGUUCAUGUGUCCACCCUCAUCCAGAACUCUUCAUAAUGCAAGAUAUAACUACACCCAUUUCUCCUGGAUUUCUUCAGUCAGAUUUCCACUCAUUUUGCUUGGAUUGCAGCCUGACAGGACUUCUG